rnacentral:lncRNA from 1 species
UUCAUUGGAAGCCUUGAAUUUCAACGGCUAGCCGGGGAGGUGGACAAAGUCCAAGAACUCAAGAAGUCUAUAUUAUCCAUGAUUAGGAAGCACAAAAGAUUGUUAAUUUUAUCAUUUUCUUCAGAUCAGAAAGCUGCCCACUUCUAUUUAUUUACCAUUUUUUAUGUUCAUAUUUGAUUAUUGGUCAUUUCACAUCAACAACCCAUGUAGAGGAAAGAGAUAGAGCCUAUAAAGGUUGAGACAAAGGUAAAGGCUUACGCUUCUAACUAGAGGG